rnacentral:rRNA from 1 species
UACGAAGGGGGCUAGCGUUGCUCGGAAUAACUGGGCGUAAAGGGCGCGUAGGCGGAUGGUACAGUCAGAUGUGAAAUUCCUGGGCUCAACCUGGGGGCUGCAUUUGAUACGUAUUGUCUUGAGUUCGGAAGAGGGUCGUGGAAUUCCCAGUGUAGAGGUGAAAUUCGUAGAUAUUGGGAAGAACACCGGUGGCGAAGGCGGCGACCUGGUCCGAAACUGACGCUGAGGCGCGAAAGCGUGGGGAGCAAACAGG